rnacentral:tRNA from 1 species
GCAGUGGUGGUUCAGUGGUAGAAUUUUUGCUUUCCAUGCAGGACACCUGGGUUCAAUUCCUGGCCAAGGCA